rnacentral:rRNA from 1 species
CCUGGUGAUUUAUCGGAGGGGCCACACCCGUUCUCAUUCCGAAUACGGAAGUUAAGCCCUCUUGAGCUGAUGAUACUCUUUUAAUGGGGAAAGUAGGUUGUCGCCAGGA